UACGGGGGGAGCAAGCGUUGUUCGGAUUUACUGGGCGUAAAGGGCGCGUAGGCGGUCGUGACAAGUCACUUGUGAAAUCUCCGGGCUUAACUCGGAAAGGUCAAGUGAUACUGUCAGACUAGAGUGCAGAAGGGGCAACUGGAAUUCUCGGUGUAGCGGUGAAAUGCGUAGAUAUCGAGAGGAACACCUGCGGCGAAGGCGGGUUGCUGGGCUGACACUGACGCUGAGGCGCGAAAGCUAGGGGAGCGAACGGG
rnacentral:rRNA from 1 species